ACAGGACGAACCUCGAUUCGGAUCACGAUGGUGUGAUGUGUCUGGUUCUGAAUCCCUUGAAUGGCGGGAAACUUCUCUCCCAACUAGCCAAUGGAGGUGACCGCUACCAGAAUCAGGUGAAGACCAUCUUCUUCAUGGAACCGAUUUAUUUGUACGAAACCUGCGACCUGAUAGACACGCCACUAGAGGGCAUUGUCAUGCAGCCUCUCAUCGAACCUUAAUAAAACGAUUUGUUAAUAUCUC